rnacentral:rRNA from 1 species
GACGAACGCUGGCGGCGUGCUUAACACAUGCAAGUCGAACGAAGUGGCGAACGGGUGAGUAACGCGUAAUCAACCUGCCCUUCAGCGGGGGACAACAGUUGUAAACGACUGCUAAUACCUCAUACUGAAGGAGGGGAUUGUGGCUGAUUAGCUCGGUGGAGGGGUAACGGCCCACCAAGGCGAUGAUCAGUAGCCGGGCUGAUAGGAUGAACGGCCACAUGGGGACUGGGACACGGCCCAGACUCCUACGGGAGGGAGCAGUGGGGAAUCUUCCGCAAUGGACGAAAGUCUGACGGAGCAACGCCGCGUGAGUGAUGACGGCCUUCGGGUUGUAAAGCUCUGUUAAUCGGGACGCGGUACCGGAAUAGAAAGCCACGGCUAACUACGUGCCAGCAGCCGCGGUAAUAC